UAGGGAAUCUUCGGCAAUGGACGAAAGUCUGACCGAGCAACGCCGCGUGAGUGAAGAAGGUUUUCGGAUCGUAAAACUCUGUUGUUAGAGAAGAACAAGGACGUUAGUAACUGAACGUCCCCUGACGGUAUCUAACCAGAAAGACACGGCUAACUACGUGCCAGCAGCCGCGGUAAUACGUAGGUGGCAAGCGUUGUCCGGCUUUAUUGGGCGUAAAGCGAGCGCAGGCGGUUUCUUAAGUCUGAUGUGAAAGCCCCCGGCUCAACCGGGGAGGGUCAUUGGAAACUGGGAGACUUGAGUGCAGAAGAGGAGAGUGGAAUUCCAUGUGUAGCGGUGAAAUGCGUAGAUAUAUGGAGGAACACCAGUGGCGAAGGCGGCUCUCUGGUCUGUAACUGACGCUGAGGCUCGAAAGCGUGGGGAGCAAACAGG
rnacentral:rRNA from 1 species